rnacentral:rRNA from 1 species
ACGUAGGGGGCAAGCGUUAUCCGGAAUUAUUGGGCGUAAAGAGUGCGUAGGUGGCACCUUAAGCGCAGGGUUUAAGGCAAUGGCUCAACCAUUGUUCGCCCUGCGAACUGGGGCGCUUGAGUGCAGGAGAGGAAAGCGGAAUUCCUAGUGUAGCGGUGAAAUGCGUAGAUAUUAGGAGGAACACCAGUGGCGAAGGCGGCUUUCUGGACUGUAACUGACACUGAGGCACGAAAGCGUGGGGAGCAAACAGGAUUAGAUACCCUGGUAGUCCACGCCGUAAACGAUGAGCACUAGGUGUCGGGGUCGCAAGACUUCGGUGCCGGAGUUAACGCAUUAAGUGCUCCGCCUGGGGAGUACGCACGCAAGUGUG